rnacentral:rRNA from 1 species
GUCUACGGCCAUACCACCCUGAACGCGCCCGAUCUCGUCUGAUCUCGGAAGCUAAGCAGGGUCGGGCCUGGUUAGUACUUGGAUGGGAGACCAAGAUAUCCUUAUGUAGUAAGGA